rnacentral:rRNA from 1 species
AGCGAACGCUGGCGGCAGGCUUAACACAUGCAAGUCGAACGGGCACUUCGGUGCUAGUGGCAGACGGGUGAGUAACACGUGGGAACGUACCUUUCGGUUCGGAAUAAUUCAGGGAAACUUGGACUAAUACCGGAUACGCCCUAUGGGGGAAAGAUUUAUUGCCGAUAGAACGGCCCGCGUCUGAUUAGUUAGUUGGGGAGGUAAUGUCUCACCAAGGCGACGAUCAGUAGCUGGUCUGAGAGGAUGAUCAGCCACAUUGGGACUGAGACACGGCCCAAACUCCUACGGGAGGCAGCAGUGGGGAAUAUUGGACAAUGGGCGCAAGCCUGAUACAGCCAUGCCGCGUGAGUGAUGAAGGCCUUAGGGUUGUAAAGCUCUUUUGUCCGGGAAGAUAAUGACUGUACCGGAAGAAUAAGCCCCGGCUAACUUCGUGCCAGCCGCCGCGGUAAUAC